AGUCUGAGAUGACUAUAGUGAUUGCGUGAGUAUAUAAGAGAUAAAACUCAACGGCUAGCCCAGACUAGUUGAUGGCGGAGAACCUUUCUAAAUAAGCCACAGGCUUAUAUGAGUAAUUCUCUGUAAAGUGCCACAGAGACGAGCUCUAUAGAAAUAUAGGGAGUGAAACGAGGCAAACCCCGCAAGUA
rnacentral:RNase_P_RNA from 1 species